rnacentral:misc_RNA from 1 species
GGAAGGAUCAUUAACACGUUUUUCGAAACGUUUGUUUCCUUCUUCACACUCUGUGCACCUACUACCCGUGGUCAGCUAGCUUCGGCUGUCUGACUGCUGGUGGUUGCCUUCACUUUGUUCCCCCUCAAGUUAAGACUGCUGUGCAUGCCCCUGAGCCUCGCUUGGUGGGUGUGUGCCGCGGCCUUGCCUUUCAGUUGGUACCAUUUCUGUCUCCUCCGCUGCCUUGAACAAAGGUGGUUGGAGCGGACUGAACCAUUUAUCUUGAACAAGAGUACAACUCUUAGCAAUGGAUAUCUAGGUUCUCGCGCCGAUGAAGAACGCAGCGAAAUGCGAUACGUCAUGCGAAUUGCAGAAUUCAGUGAAUCAUCCAAUCUUUGAACGCAAAUUGCGCUCUCGGGUUCGUCCUAAGAGCACGCCUCUCUCAGUAUCGUUUUCCCUCCUCUCACUGCCCUUGGCCUAGCAGCAAUGCUGGUGCUGAGGCGCCGUGGAGAAUGAGAGUCCAGUUGACUUGUCGGCUGGUCUCUUGAAAAGCACCUCCUCGCUCUGCCGCCUGUCGGACCGCUCAGGUCGAUUGCGGAAGGGACGUGAAUAACGAGUGGCAGCUUCAUCUGAUUGUCUGCCUCCUCCUACCCACGUCCACUCCUUCCUGCACUCGAUCGGUCCGAGCCACGACGGAGCACCUCAGGGAGACGGGCGCUGGCUUAGCCACUGCCCACCCACACUUUAAACUUUGAUCUGAGAUGAAGCGAGAUUACCCCCUGAAUUUAAGCAUAUUAAUAAGGGGAGGAAAAGAAACUAACAAGGAUUCCCUCAGUAACGGCGAGUGAAGCGGGAAGAGCUCAAUAUGAAAAUCGGUUUCAAUUGACUUUGCGACCGAAUUGUAUCCUUCGGACGUGUUGUCAGCUGGCGGCUCGAAUGUAAGUCUUUUGGAAGAAGGCAUCGUAGAGGGUGAGAAUCCCGUCUUUCGUUCGAGUCUGCCGGCGUACGACGCAUGUUCUGCGAGUCGAGUUGUUUGGGAUUGCAGCUCUAAACAGGUGGUAAGUUUCAUCGAAAGCUAAAUAUCAGCGAGAGACCGAUAGCGAACAAGUACCGUGAGGGAAAGAUGAAAAGAACUUUGAAAAGAGAGUUAAACAGUACUUGAAAUUGCUAAGAGGGAAGCGCUGGAAACCAGUGUUUGUUUGCUUGGAUAUUCGCUCUUUGCUACCUGGCGGCUAGCUAUGGACGUUGGCAACUCGUCUGUGGUUGGUUGGCUGGGCUGGCAGGGAGUUCAGUCCAGGCGAAUAGGUCCAGAUUCAUUCGGCGACGCGAGGCAGAAGGCGGCGGGGAAGGUAGGAGAGCAAGCAAUUGCUCUCUGUUAUAGACCCGCCGUUGAACCUUGGGCUGGAUGGAGGAAGGUAUAGUGCGCCGCUUGCGGCUACUCCCCCGCUGUUCCGUCUGUGCCGUCUGGCUGACUAGCAAUGCUUGGCUGUCGGACGCGUAUGGAUGCUGGUGGUGGUGGAGUAUGUGCUAUGACGAUCUUGGCGAAAUGGUUUUCAUCGACCCGUCUUGAAACACGGACCAAGGAGUCUAACAUCGAUGCGAGUAGUCAGGUGGUAAACCUGAGUGCGGAAUGAAAGUGAAGCUCAACCUAGUUGAGUGUGGUAGGAAUCUGCUUGGCCAUUGGUCAGUGGAGGCACUAUCGACCGAUCAUGAUUUAUCAUUGAUUUGAGUUGGAGCAUGGCUGUUGGGACCCGAAAGAUGGUGAUCUAUGCCUGAACAGGGUGAAGCCAGGGGAAACUCUGGUGGAGGCUCGUAGCGAUACUGACGUGCAAAUCGUUCGUCUGAUUUGGGUAUAGGGGCGAAAGACUAAUCGAACCAUCUAGUAGCUGGUUCCCUC